UCUUUAACUGCUGCCUGAGCUGAAACCACCCAGCAUAUCGCUGAGUGAAGAAUCCUGUAAUAACAACCAUCCUCCAUUUUGAGAAUCCAUCCUUCUCUCUCACACCUCUCUCUCUCUCUCUGAAGGACAUGAAAUAUCUCAGAGGUUAGACGGAGGGAAGAAUAAAGAAUACCAAGAGUCUGGAGAAUAUUUCCCUGGCAGGCUGCCGUACUAAAUUCUCCCAAGCUGUGUUUAAAGCGCGUCUCUCUCUGGCGGACCAGCAGAUGAGGCUUGAAAGUCGGUCUGAUUAAAGAGGCGAAGGACGAGUCACUCACCUUUCAACUGGGAGCUGUAGUUCGGAUCAAAUUUGGUUUCCUGGUCUCCAUACCCUUUACGCUUACACUUAUGAGCUGAGGAAACAGAAAGAAGAAAAAUAGUGAAAAGAAUAAAAGGUCAUGUUAUCAGUCUUAAUUUGUUGUCCGAUUAUAUUUUUGUGUUUUUUUCUACUGACUUUUUCCACCUAAUGAGCUCAUUUGAAGAAAGCUAGCUUCGAUAUGAUUUAGUGGGAUUUUAUGCCGCUGAUAAGUAUGGAAAAUUAUCAAACAUCUGUACAAAUAUAUAGGGAUUAUAUUGAUUCAUCAAAUCGUUUAUAGACACUGUGAACAUUAUCACAAUAAAUGUUUACGUUCAUAUAGCCCACAAAUAAAAAACAUUUAAGAAGAAAAAACUAAAACAACCUUUUGGAAAGCAUUGUCUGUACUGGAGCAAAAUAUGAUUGAACUAUAAAUGUACAAUAUUGCAGUUUAGUGCAAUUUUAUGUAGGGUAUUGUAUAUUACAAACGACUUGCAUUAUUAUUAUUCUGCAUGUACAUAAUGCAUCUGGAAAACUGUGUGGACUUUCUUUCAACUUUACAAGCAAGAUUCGGAUUUUUGUCAAAGUGGAGGAGAAAUUGUGAUUAAGAAAAAUGGAGGAAAACUUUUUUAAAAGUGAGCUCUCUAAACAGCUAUAUGGAAAUUAUUAUUUAAUUCAUGGUGUUGUGCAUCACUAGUCUUUGCCAAACUAGAGAGUGAAUCGUUUGCCUAUGCUUUGUUGCAAAAAUAAAUACAGUCAGUCUUCUGCACUUCAUAAAAUAGCAAUAAAAUGCAUUGUAGUUUAUAAUUUUAAUGUGACAAAAAGUAUACAGAGCAUUUUAACUAUAUGGACCGGAAUGGAUACAUUCAUCUUUAGGUCAACAGAUACAAGGACACUUCUAGAAGAGGAGACUUGUUAACAGAUGGGACAGAGUGAAGAACUGCGAGACACCAAGUGAGAAAGCCUCUGCAACAAAAGCGCUCACCGAGUUUGGCGAACAGUACGGACACAUCCUGCAGCACUUCAGCGGUCGGUACGGAAACCGAGGAGCAGAUCAGCUCCAGCAAACCCACGUACUGCUUCAUGUUGGGACUGUCAUCGACGUUCAGGCACUAGAUGGGAGAGAUACGGCCACAGGCGCAUCAAUAACUCACAUUAAUACGAUUCUGCAUUUUUUAUACCAUCUCGCAUGCUAAAUGUUGUUUUCUGUCUUUUCUCAACCAGCUCAAGCUAACUAGGCUAAUUCGGCGAGCAAGCUACACAGAAACAUCUUUGCUGACAGAUUCUGUUCCAUCUAAUCCAAAUUACAUAUCCAAAUAAAGGUAACUAAUAAUUCUACAGGUCACUGUUGUUUGUCUAUGUAAGUGAUCUCAUAGGGAAGCAAUGUGAGUUGUCGCUUUCUACUUACAAGUCGGACAGCAGUUGAAUUUCUUAACCUUUGUUCUGGUAACUACUACUAGCAAUACCAAAUGACAAUGUAUUUAUUUACCUUUAACAUGUUAAAAUAAAAGGUGAACACAAACUGACAUUUUACAGCAGCACAUUACACUGGGCAGCCAUAUUAGGUGCUAAAUUCAGUGGACAGGUUGUCCUUGUAUUUUAAACUGGGAACUCUAAAAAUCACACUUUUGGGCACAAAGUGAAACCACUAAUAUGUUCAAGUCUGAAGAUCAACUCUGGAAAUAAUGUCACAUCCAAAUGGAGAACAUUCAUACUGCAAAUUGUAAAACUAUUGGAGGUCGCUGAUUGUGAUGCUAACUAUAAAGAACCAUCCGAAAAUCCAAAGAUGCACAAAUAAAAUAAACCAAUGUUUGGUCUUUGGAAGUCAAAUUUCCACAGCCAGUAAAAAAAAACCCAGCAAAAAUGUCAAUUGAAGACAGAAUUUUGAUUGGUCAGUGUUGGGCACACUUCCGCUAAUCAGCUAACAGCAGAGCUAACUUUUUGAUAAGCGCUUUUGCUAAGUUUGGAAAAGUUGGGGUGUAUUAGUAAUUUAAUACACCCCCUGCAUAAAUUUAUUACUUAUUUUCCAACAGGAUACAUACAAGAACAAAACAAAACAUGGACACUAGAGAAAAAACCUCUAAACAUGAAUAUAUUAGGUAUGUAAGAGCAUUAUUGGUAUCAACAUGGUUGAAUUUAGCACUUAAGCAUUAGCGUCUGCCAAAUACUGUGUUGGUGUAGAACUUUAGUGUUAGCUGAACUGAUGUUUAUGAUUAGUGUUUUAGGUUUAGUGCAACUAACUUAUUAGUUAGCGAUGACCACCGCUAACUAACAGACCAUGUUUGUCUGUGAAUGUGUUCCUCCAGUGCUUGUACUAAUAAAGUGGGGAGAAAGGGAUUGUUUUCAGCUUUUAUUGGUAAUAAACGUUUUGUAACUUGA